rnacentral:rRNA from 1 species
UACGAAGGGGGCUAGCGUUGCUCGGAAUCACUGGGCGUAAAGGGCGCGUAGGCGGCGUUUUAAGUUGGGGGUGAAAGCCUGUGGCUCAACCACAGAAUUGCCUUCGAUACUGGGACGCUUGAGUGUGGUAGAGGUUGGUGGAACUGCGAGUGUAGAGGUGAAAUUCGUAGAUAUUCGCAAGAACACCAGUGGCGAAGGCGGCUCACUGGCCCGGUACUGACGCUGAGGUGCGAAAGCGUGGGGAGCAAACAGG